GGCCUGGUGGUGUACGGUGCACAUCCGCUCUUUGUAAAGGUUAAGUAGAUUGCAACUUCAUUAGCGGAAAGGUCUGGUUCGACUCCAGAGUAGGUCA